UACAGAGGUGGCAAGCGUUGUUCGGAAUCAUUGGGCGUAAAGGGCGCGUAGGUGGUUCUGUGUGUCUACCGUGAAAGCGUACGGCUCAACCGUAUUUUGUCGGUAGAAACUGCAGGACUUGAGGCUGGGAGGGGCUGGUGGAAUUCCCUGUGUAGCGGUGAAAUGCGUAGAGAUGGGGGAGAACACUCGUGGCGAAGGCGGCCAGCUAGACCAGUUCUGACACUGAGGCGCGACAGCGUGGGGAGCAAACAGG
rnacentral:rRNA from 1 species